AGGGGAGGUAAUAACAUGGCUAUAUACGGGGAGGUAAUAACAUGGCUAUAUACGGGGAGGUAAUAACAUGGCUAUAUACGGGGAGGUAAUAACAUGGCUAUAUACGGGGAGGUAAUAACAUGGCUAUAUACGGGGAGGUAAUAACAUGGCUAUAUACGGGGAGGUAAUAACAUGGCUAUAUACGGGGAGGUAAUAACAUGGCUAUAUACGGGGAGGUAAUAACAUGGCUAUAUACGGGGAGGUAAUAACAUGGCUAUAUACGGGGAGGUAAUAACAUGGCUAUAUACGGGGAGGUAAUAACAUGGCUAUAUACGGGGAGGUAAUAACAUGGCUAUAUACGGGGAGGUAAUAACAUGGCUAUAUACGGGGAGGUAAUAACAUGGCUAUAUACGGGGAGGUAAUAACAUGGCUAUAUACGGGGAGGUAAUAACAUGGCUAUAUACGGGGAGGUAAUAACAUGGCUAUAUACGGGGAGGUAAUAACAUGGCUAUAUACGGGGAGGUAAUAACAUGGUUAUAUACGGGAAGGUAAUAACAUGGCUAUAUACAGGAAGGUAAUAACAUGGCUAUAUACAGGGAGUACCAGGUAAUAACAUGGCUAUAUACAGAGAGGUAAUAACAUGGCUAUAUACAGAGAGGUAAUAACAUGGCUAUAUACAGAGAGGUAAUAACAUGGCUAUAUACAGAGGUAAUAACAUGGCUAUAUACAGGGAGGUAAUAACAUGGCUAUAUACAGGGAGGUAAUAACAUGGCUAUAUACAGAGAGGUAAUAACAUGGCUAUAUACAGGAAGGUAAUAACAUGGCUAUAUACAGGGAGGUAAUAACAUGGCUAUAUACAGGGAGGUAAUAACAUGGCUAUAUACAGGGAGGUAAUAACAUGGCUAUAUACAGGGAGGUAAUAACAUGGCUAUAUACAGGGAGGUAAUAACAUGGCUAUAUACAGGGAGGUAAUAACAUGGCUAUAUACAGGGAGGUAAUAACAUGGUUAUAUAC